rnacentral:lncRNA from 1 species
AUGGAAGUUGGAGACCAUGGCCGUGCAGCUGGUGCCGGACUCUGCUCUCAGCCUGCUGAUGGCUGGCGUUUGCGGCCCUUCCAGGACGGCUCCACUCUGCCUCUGAAGUCUCACCGGAAUGUUCUUGUCCGACACCCUUUGGUCCUAACAGCUCCUCCCUUCCUCCGAGGUGUCUCCUACCCGCAGGUCUUCAUUUUGCUGCCAACAAACCCCCAGUGCCCAUCCUCCGUGAAACUUUCCAACACAAGCCCAGACAAUCAGCAGACAGUUGAUCUGAAGGUCACAAAGGUGGUCACAGGCAUAGAUGUCUUCCAGGCAGCUUUGUUGGUUCCCAGGAUGACGUAAUUUUUUUAAAUGAAGAAAUGUCACAUAAAGUUCUGCCUUUUUUAGCUUCCUUUGAAAUCACAGAGGAGCAGACAGCAAUGGACACAUAUUCCCUUGUGGCUGCUUGGCUGGGCUGCCCUUAGGCAGGAUGUGGAUACCUACUUCGCCCUGGAUCCAGCCCCACAGGGAGCCUGGGGGCCAGUUGCAUUUUCUCUGUGUUUCUUCCUGGGAGAAGGAGCCCCUUUUUCUAUAGCUUCUAUCAAAAUUGAGAAGAUGGAAACCAGAGCAAGCAAGACAAGCAAAUAAUUUUCUUAGACCUGUCAUAUUGAUGCAUGUAACUUGUCUGAUCCAUGUAGGCAUUUGAAGAUAGGAGCCAUGAUGUAAGGCAGAGGUUGGUAAACUCUUCCUGUGAAGACCAGACAUCAAAUAUUUUAGGCUUUGUGGGACACAAUUACUGUUGUGACUCUUCCACGUGCUCUCGGUUGCCUGAAAGCAGUCUUACAUACGUGAGUGAGCAGAGCUGUGGUCCAGUAAAACUUUAUUUACAACAAAAGGCAUCAGAGCUGGCCCUGGUGGUACAUGCCUGUGACCCCUGCAUUCUAGGAGCUGAGGUAGGAGGAUAGAAAGUUCAAAAGUUGCUGGGUAGUUCAGCAACUGGGCCAGACCCUGUUGAAAGAAAGAGAGAGAGGAGAAGGAAAAAGGAAAGAACAAAAAGAGAAAGGUGUAGGAAGCUAGUGUAGCUCAGGGUGAAAGGCCUGAGUUAAAUCCCCGGUUCAGCAAAAAAAGAAAAAGAAAAGAAAGAAAGAAAUUUAAAAUUUAAAAAACCAACAUUGAGCUGCACUUGCCCCAGGGCCAUUCGGGCUCCUGAUGUCGUUCUUCCUCAUUUUACAGAUGAGCAAACAGAGACAGAAAUGAUGCUAAGAUCUCAGCACUUGGACUCUCAAAGGCCCACAGGAGCACCACUGCCCCUCCAGGCUGGCUGCCCAGACGCCGGUCUCCCGGCUCUCCUUCUGGACCGCCAGGACUCAUUCCUGUGCCAGUCACCUGGGUGUAGACUUGACAGCCUCUGCCUGUGUUUUACCUUCCCUGCAGGGUUGCAUUACAAGUGUUUCAUGCCCAGGAUGUGCUUUCUAAACAGGCAGAAAGUUAGAAGGGGGCAGGGCCUAGCCCCGGGCUUCUAGAGGGCGUGGUGGGUGUCAGUGAAGUGGGAUGUUGUCCGGUGAGCCCACCCUUCCUUACAGUGUCACCUCUGCGCUCCCAUCACAGGGUCACAAUCAGAGCACUUCUGGGUCAGCCUCCUGCUGCAGACUUUGUCCCUGCCCUGCUGGACGCAGUGAUGCCGCUGGAGCGCUAGGAAUGAGGAUGGACAGUGCAGGUGACUGAGUGUGGCAGCACACGCAGUACAAAGGUGCUGUAGACCCGUUCAGGUGCGGCAGUCAUGUGCCUGACCAGUACCACACUCAUCACUUCUCCACACAUGACUUCUGAAACAGCAUCCUGUGUGAGGUGCGUGUCCUUCUUGAUAUCCUCUCGACUUCUCUCAGAAAGAAAAUGUAGAAAAAGACAUCUGAAAAGAUCUGUGGCAAGCUGGCGUUCUCCGUGUCGGGCAGAGCAGCAGUUGGCAGGAUAAGGAAUAGGCCUCAUCUUGCAGGCUAUUUCUGUUCAGCUGACCCCAGAGGAUGGCAACACUGGGAUCGGAAAUCCUAGAAGCCGGGUCCUGCUCAGGGAGCUCUGACGCAGAGCAGCAGUUGGCAGGAUAAGGAAUAGGCCUCAUCUUGCAGGCUAUUUCGUUCAGCUGUCCCCAGAGGAUGGCAACACUGGGAUCGGAAAUCCUAGAAGCCGGGUCCUGCUCAGGGAGCUCUGUUUGACAGGCGAAGUCUGCCCUGGUGCAAAAGGAAGGGGCACUAGAAUGCAUUUCCCACUGCUGUUUUAAGGCUGGAAGACAGCUGGGAAAAAGGCCUUGUCAGCUUUCUUUCCCUUCCUUGUCUCUUCCUAGGACAAAGCUGUAAGGGGAGGGAUCUAGUGAUGGGAAAUGUCCAACAGUGAAAAGGGAGGAGAGGGCUGUGGUGAACUGAGAAUGCAGGUCCGGAGGCAGGCAGGAAUUCAUGAGUGAAUCCGCUUUCAGCAUUAAACACUUGAUCUCGUCUCCUCCUUUGGCUUCCAUGUUAGCAUUCCAAUAGUAACAGUACUAGAGGUCCAGCCCACUUCCUGGUAUGUUUGGGACCCUUGAGCACCUCAACAUGUAGGGAGGUGCAGCCAGCUGAUACCUGAGGAGCAGCUCUUAGCCCGUCUUGUAUUCCUAUAGUAGGAUAUCAUAGAAGGAGCAGUUUAUAAGGAAAAAUUCUUAGUGCUCUGCAGCUUGGGAAGUCCAAGAACGAGGGUCCACAUCUGGCAGGGGUCUUUCUGUUGUGACAACAGGCAGAGGGCAUCACGUGAGGCAGAGCAGGUGUGCCAGCUGAGGUCUCUCCUCCCUUCAUAAAGUCGCCAGAGGACUCACCCUUGUGACCCCACCUAACCCCAGCUCCCUGGGGAAGACCCUGACUCCAAGUACCAUGACAUAGGAGUCUGGGGUUAUGUUCCCAGUGCACAGGUAAGGAGGGUGACUGGUCACACCGCAGCAGAGGGCAUGUGCCUCAGCAGUUUGGCCCGCAGAGGCAGGGACUGGAAGGCUCUCUUGAGAAGAUGGCAAGGGGGUGAGGGGCGCAGACGUUUAUCCCUGCGGCUCAAGGAUCCUGCGUGCCACAUGUAAGAGCAGGAGGCCCGGAAUUCACUGUUCAUUUGAGCGCUGGCCCUGUGUUUCUGUCUACACACUCCUGUCUUUGUGAAGGUUAUUCGGUCAGGCCAGAAUUUUAUUGCCCCUGCCAAAGGCCUCUACAGCAAAUAUCCUCAUCCAGCAAAGCGUUUAUGACUGUAUACAUCACACUGUCCCUCUGGCUCUAUUAUUCUUCUGGUGGGAGGAGGAGGUGAGUUAUGGCUGUGGCAGUGAUACUCUUCACAUUUUUUUCUGAAAGCCAUGAAGAUGCCUCUUGUUAAGUAAUUUCAAAGGUAGAAACAGUAAUAGGAAGAAAUUUUUUCUUACAAAAAGCACUGAAGCAAAGAGUCAUGACAUGCCACUGUGCCCCAGAAAGAUUAUUUUACUUAGUUUGGCCCAGUUUAAAAUGCUGCAUCCUGUUCUAAAAUUACUUUUGGAAAUAACAUUGCCAUUUUGAAAACUUACUGUAUUGUAUAAUGUAGAUUUCAAUACACAGAGGGUUUUCUCCCAGUAUGUAGUAAAUAUCAUUUUUUAAAACAUAAAUGAAACAAAAUUUCUGUCUCCCUGUUCACCUCUCUCCCCCAGGCUCCUGCACCAGGGCACCUGCCACAGCCUGGCUCCUCUUGCUAUGUCCCCUCCUGCCCUCCUGUAGUGCUGCAUCCUGUUCUAAAAUUACUUUUGGAAAUAACAUUGCCAUUUUGAAAACUUCCUGUAUUGUAUAAUGUAGAUUUCAAUACACAGAGGGUUUUCUCCCAGUAUGUAGUAAAUAUCAUUUUUUAAAACAUAAAUGAAACAAAAUUUCUGUCUCCCUGUUCACCUCUCUCCCCCAGGCUCCUGCACCAGGGCACCUGCCACAGCCUGGCUCCUCUUGCUAUGUCCCCUCCUGCCCUCCUGUACCCCUGGCCCUGCUGGACAAGCACAGCUCA